ACGUUGCGGCGGGCCUAACACAUGCAAGUCGAAUGAGAAUGUAGGCUUCGGUCUACUAGUAAAGUGGCGGACGGGUGCGUAACACGUGGGUAAUCUACCUUCCGGCGGGGGACAACAGUCCGAAAGGAUUGCUAAUACCGCGUACGUCAGCGGCGCCUACGGGCGCUGUUGGGAAAGAUGGCCUCUCCUUGGAAGCUAUCACCGGAAGAUGAGCCCGCGUCCCAUCAGCUAGUUGGUGAGGUAACGGCUCACCAAGGCAAAGACGGGUAGCUGGUCUGAGAGGAUGAUCAGCCACACUGGGACUGCGACACGGCCCAGACUCCUACGGGAGGCAGCAGUGGGGAAUAUUGGGCAUUGGGCGAAAGCCUGACCCAGCCACGC
rnacentral:rRNA from 1 species